AUUGAACGCUGGCGGCAGGCUUAACACAUGCAAGUCGAACGAGUGGCGGACGGGUGAGUAAUGCUUGGGAAUCUAGCUUAUGGAGGGGGAUAAAUACGGGAAACUGUAGCUAAUACCGCGUACCAUAGGAUGAGGCCAAGUGGGAUUGGGUAGUUGGUGAGGUAAAGGCUAACCAGGCCGACGAGCUCUAGCUGGUCUGAGAGGAUGACCAGCCACACUGUGACUGCGACACGGCCCAGACUCCUACGGGAGUCAGCAGUGGGGAAGAUUGCGCAAGGGGAGCAACCUGACCCAGCCAUGCAGCGUGAAUGAAGAAGGCCUUCGGGUUGUAAAGUUCUUUCGGUAGCGAGGCGUUAACUACAGAAGAAUCACCGGCUAACGCCGUGCCAGCAGCCGCGGUAAUUC
rnacentral:rRNA from 1 species